rnacentral:tRNA from 1 species
UCUGGGGAUAUAGCUUAGUGGCAAAACACUUGCCUAGCAUGCAUGAGGCCCUGGGUUCAAUCCCCAGUACCGGAA